AUUUUUGUUCCUUUGCUGGUAUCCUGUUUUUCCAUUUGGAAGCUUGUGGAGUUUUCUUUUUUUUUUCAGAGUUCAGAAUUUUCACCAGAAUGUGUGAAGGUGGAUGUUAAUGCAGUUCUCCUAUUGGUUACCACACUGUUCUCUGGAUUGUUCACUCAGACCUAACAAGAGAACACAGUCUCCAUGGCUUUAGAAAGUUCGAGUAUCCAUUUUUCACCUCGAAAAAAGUUUCCCACCAGGUUGCCGCUCCCAAACCCUUUCCUUUUGGAAAUUCUGCACCCGCUGUAGAACUUUUGAGGGACCUAAGUGAUCAAAUGUCACUUUGAAGUCCACGUUGAAGUCACCACGAAACUCUUCAAAGUAGCCUUGGCCUCCCCCAUGACCCGCAACCUGGGAUGAG